rnacentral:lncRNA from 1 species
ACAGCCUGGACAACACUGAGCCAGCCCUUCCUAGAGCCCACGUUGUCCUUACUCUGAGUCUCUGAUCAGGACACUGAUUUCCCAGUUGGGUCCCCCACCACAUUCCACCCCUACCUAGAGGGGCUAUGAGGCCAGACCCUGGAAUGGAGGAACACGGUGUGAACACCAUCCUUCCCAGCUUGGCGCCCUGGCAGCCAGGAGACACCCUCUAAACCUCAGCAAGAUGGGCGCCAACAGUGAAGGCACCUCUGUGAGGAGACUCAGGGAACCCAUCACAUGACUCUCUGAUGAACUUCCUGCACACCAGUCUCACCUCAGGACUCCCUCCUCAAGGAAGCAACCACCCAGAGGGACGCAUCAGAACUGCGCUGAGCACCUUGAGACAUUCCCUCCUCCCUUCCUGCAAUGUCACCACGGGGGAGAUGCUCCUCCCGUCGCAGACAAGGCACAGAGGGGCUGCGAAGCUACUUGCAGUGGGAAGGGCCCACGAGAUCCACAGGGGAUGUGGAGGGGCCACAGAAGAGGAGAUGAGGACACAGAUACCCAGAGGGAAGACCACAUGAAGACGGCCGUCUCCAAGCCGAGGAGAGAGGGCUCAGAAGAAACCAGCCCUGCCAACGCCUUGAUCGCAGACUACUAGCCUUCAGAAAGUGACUGGAUAAAUAAAUUUUCCACAUGUGAAGAAUAAGUUUCUGCUGUUUACGUCCUCCAGGCUUGGUGUUUUGCUGUGGCAGCCUGAGCCGACCACGCAAACGAUGACCUCGCCCUCCCAGCCUGGGUGUCCUCAUCUGUAAAACGGAAAUCGUCACAAACUGUCGCGAAGAUUUCUGUAAACUAUGUAUAAAUCCAUACACAGAAGGAAGCAGUCAUUGUCUAAGACAGUAAAAACAACUUUUAACUCAGAAUUGCGAAAAACAGUUUUCAGUUUGGAGCAUCAAUUUGCCUUUCCAAAAAUCAAUCUCCACAAUUCGUGAGCUGCUGCCAGUCAUUAAUCCUGACAGCGCAUGGUGAUAAGUUUGCAAUCCUUUUACACAGUUCUUUAAAAUAAAGUAUCGUCUGAUCUGG